rnacentral:rRNA from 1 species
CGGACCGGCGCACGGGUGAGUAACGCGUAUGCAACUUACCUAUCAGAGGGGGAUAACCCGGCGAAAGUCGGACUAAUACCGCAUGAAGCAGGGGCCCCGCAUGGGGAUAUUUGCUAAAGAUUCAUCGCUGAUAGAUAGGCAUGCGUUCCAUUAGGCAGUUGGCGGGGUAACGGCCCACCAAACCGACGAUGGAUAGGGGUUCUGAGAGGAAGGUCCCCCACAUUGGUACUGAGACACGGACCAGACUCCUACGGGAGGCAGCAG